GAUGAACGCUGGCGGCGUGCCUAAUACAUGCCAGUCGAGCGAACAGAUGAGGAGCUUGCUCCUCUGACGUUAGCGGCGGACGGGUGAGUAACACGUGGAUAACCUACCUAUAAGACUGGGAUAACUUCGGGAAACCGGAGCUAAUACCGGAUAAUAUAUUGAACCGCAUGGUUCAAUAGUGAAAGACGGUUUUGCUGUCACUUAUAGAUGGAUCCGCGCCGCAUUAGCUAGUUGGUAAGGUAACGGCUUACCAAGGCAACGAUGCGUAGCCGACCUGAGAGGGUGAUCGGCCACACUGGAACUGAGACACGGUCCAGACUCCUACGGGAGGCAGCAGUAGGGAAUCUUCCGCAAUGGGCGAAAGCCUGACGGAGCAACGCCGCGUGAGUGAUGAAGGUCUUCGGAUCGUAAAACUCUGUUAUUAGGGAAGAACAAAUGAGUAAGUAACUAUGCACGUCUUGACGGUACCUAAUCAGAAAGCCACGGCUAACUACGUG
rnacentral:rRNA from 1 species